rnacentral:rRNA from 1 species
GUCGACGAUGAACCACAUUCGGUGGGGAUUAGUGGCGAACGGGUGAGUAACACGUGGGCAAUCUGCCCUGCACUCUGGGACAAGCCCUGGAAACGGGGUCUAAUACCGGAUACUGACCCCCGCAGGCAUCUGCGGGGUUCGAAAGCUCCGGCGGUGCAGGAUGAGCCCGCGGCCUAUCAGCUUGUUGGUGAGGUAACGGCUCACCAAGGCGACGACGGGUAGCCGGCCUGAGAGGGCGACCGGCCACACUGGGACUGAGACACGGCCCAGACUCCUACGGGAGGCAGCAGUGGGGAAUAUUGCACAAUGGGCGAAAGCCUGAUGCAGCGACGCCGCGUGAGGGAUGACGGCCUUCGGGUUGUAAACCUCUUUCAGCAGGGAAGAAGCGAAAGUGACGGUACCUGCAGAAGAAGCGCCGGCUAACUACGUGCCAGCAGCCGCGGUAAUACGUAGGGCGCGAGCGUUGUCCGGAAUUAUUGGGCGUAAAGAGCUCGUAGGCGGCUUGUCGCGUCGGUUGUGAAAGCCCGGGGCUUAACCCCGGGUCUGCAGUCGAUACGGGCAGGCUAGAGUUCGGUAGGGGAGAUCGGAAUUCCUGGUGUAGCGGUGAAAUGCGCAGAUAUCAGGAGGAACACCGGUGGCGAAGGCGGAUCUCUGGGCCGAUACUGACGCUGAGGAGCGAAAGCGUGGGGAGCGAACAGGAUUAGAU